GAUGAACGCUGGCGGCGUGCUUAACACAUGCAAGUCGAGCGAAGCGAUUUUAAGGAAGCCUUCGGGUGGAAUUAAGAUUGACUUAGCGGCGGACGGGUGAGUAACGCGUGGGUAACCUGCCUCAUACAGGGGGAUAACAGUUAGAAAUGACUGCUAAUACCGCAUAAGCGCACAGUGUUGCAUAGCACAGUGUGAAAAACUCCGGUGGUAUGAGAUGGACCCGCGUCUGAUUAGGUAGUUGGUGAGGUAACGGCCCACCAAGCCGACGAUCAGUAGCCGACCUGAGAGGGUGACCGGCCACAUUGGGACUGAGACACGGCCCAAACUCCUACGGGAGGCAGCAGUGGGGAAUAUUGGACAAUGGGGGAAACCCUGAUCCAGCGACGCCGCGUGACUGAAGAAGUAUUUCGGUAUGUAAAGGUCUAUCAGCAGGGAAGAAAAUGACGGUACCUGACUAAGAAGCCCCGGCUAACUACGUGCCAGCCGCCGCGGUAA
rnacentral:rRNA from 1 species